rnacentral:rRNA from 1 species
UACGGAGGGUGCGAGCGUUGUCCGGAAUUAUUGGGCGUAAAGGGCGCGUAGGCGGCCUGGCAAGUGGAAGGUGAAAUCCCUCGGCUUAACCGAGGAACUGCCCUCCAAACUGCUUGGCUUGAGUCCGGGAGAGGUGAGUGGAAUUCCCAGUGUAGCGGUGAAAUGCGUAGAUAUUGGGAGGAACACCAGUGGCGAAGGCGGCUCACUGGACCGGAACUGACGCUGAGGCGCGAAAGUGUGGGGAGCAAACGGG